UAUCAAUUUGCGUCAAGUUAUAAAGCUGUAUGAAAUGUAUGUCUUGAUAUUGUUUCAGUUUCGUUUAAAACGCAUCCCAAGUUUUAUUUUUUUCACCAUAAACAAAAUUGGUCCAAAGUAUAAUGACAGUAAUAAGAGUAGGUGUGCAGUUAAAUACUUUAAAAAAGUGAAACCAUUGAACUAUAUUUUUCGCCUUUGACAGUCACACUCCUAAUCUUGAGUAGUAUCUUUAAGAACAUCAAAACCAUUAAUACGUAGUAAAACUAUUCAAGUUGUACACCAUUUGUUGAAUAAUAAUAUUUUAUUACAUUUAUCAGUAUUAAAUUACAAGUAUUGUUUAGUACAUAUGAAAGAAUGAAGCAAUACAACUAUAGAAGAUUUAAGUUUAAUCAAUCUAGCGUACAUUGCUGUUUUUCAUGUAACAAUAACGUAAUGUAACCGUAGCCUCAGUAAUUAUUGUUACAUUUGUAAUUAAUCGGUUCCUCACCCAACUUUGCAUUCCGGCAAUUAGUCUCCAAUGCAACAAUAAUAUUUUUAUUGUUGUUACAUUUCCAUGUAACCGUAGCCAGUGCCUAAAAUAAAU
rnacentral:lncRNA from 1 species